rnacentral:rRNA from 1 species
UACUAGAGUAGCACUCGCAUAUCAAUAAGCGGAGGAAAAGAAACUAACAAGGAUUCCCCUAGUAACGGCGAGUGAAGCGGGAAGAGCUCAAAUUUGAAAUCUUAAAGGGUUUCCCUUUACGAAUUGUAGUUUAAAGAAGUGUUUUCUGUUGAGGUUUUGGUAAAAGUUCUUUGGAAUAGGAACAUCAUAGAGGGUGAGAAUCCCGUAUUUGACCUUUACUUUCAACUUUGUGAUACACUUUCAAAGAGUCGGAUUGUUUGGGAAUGCAGUCCAAAAUGGGUGGUAAACUUCAUCUAAGGCUAAAUAUUGGCGAGAGACCGAUAGUGAACAAGUACCGUGAGGGAAAGAUGAAAAGAACUUUGAAAAGAGAGUUAAACAGUACGUGAAAUUGUCAAAAGGGAAGCGUUUGACACCAGUGUUGUUUUUCUGAAAAUCAAUUAAAGAACUGUUUAUGCUAAGUUGUUUAGACUUUAUCAGCUAACUGUUUAGUUUUGAGCUUUUCUUUAAUGCACUUUUCAGUUAACAAGUCAACAUCAAUUUCUUUUGCUGUAAAAAAGCUUGAGGAAGGUGGCUUGAGAUUCGUCUUAAGUGUUUAUAGCCUCUUGCCUAUGCAGUCGGAGAGAUUGAGGUCUGCAGCGUAGAUCCUUCGGGGCUAAAUGCAUUUGUGCUAAGUUAUAGCAUUUUAUAGACAACUUGUUGACUAUGAUUUGUCUUGUAGCUUACUCGCUUAUGUUAUUUUACCUACGCUUAGGAUGUUGAACUCUAUCACACACAG